rnacentral:lncRNA from 1 species
GACCUUCUCCUAAAUGAAAUUGUCAAUUGACCGACUUAGAAAAAUCUCGAUAUCGUUAGUCGGCUUCACUGGAGAUGUGGUCACAGUGGAAGGAGAAAUCACCCUCUCCCUAACUGCUAGGAUUGAACCACAAUAGAGCACCAUCUUCAUAACCUUUACGAUCGUCUGAGUACCCUCAGCCUACAACGCCAUACUCGAAAGAUCCGGACUAAAUGCCCUG